CCACACCCUGAGCAACCAGAGGGGCCCCAGCUCCUUUCUGGGGAACCACACUCAGCAUCUCAACAUCAAGCUGCCAGAGCUGAGAGCUGUGUCUGUGAGCAUCUGUACUUUAUUUCAGUUAAUUUUGUGCCUCUGUUAGCAAGAUGUGUCUGAAUAUAUCAGAAAAGAUAUCACCUGAGAGAGGUGACUUUUUGGGUCUGGAAAUACUUGAAAAUGUUUCCAUAUAAAUUAAUGGUAACUGUCUCUUCACUUUAUGCCAUUUUGGUGUAUGAAAGUUUUCAUAAGAACACUCUACUUUUGAAUAGUGUGUGGGGGUAAAUCUGUACACAUUAUGCCACUUUCUUUUGGAAAUAAGUUACAUAGAAAUUUACUGAAUAAUUUCCCUAAUUAGCUUUAAAAGUAAAGAAACACUUAAAAAUACAGAUAUUUAUAUAAGUUAAACAUUAAUAUAGAUAUAUUAAAAGAAAACUGUAGUAGCUUUCUGUUGACUGAGGACAAAUACCAGCUGUCUACUUAAAACUAGUUUGUGAUUACUUUGGGCUCAUGUUUAUAGUUUACAAGUUAGAGUGUUAUUGCUUUUUGAAACUUUGUCCCCUCCAAGAUAGCUCUGGUAUAAUACCAUUAUAAUCCAGUCAACUGGAUCAUUUAACCCAAUUACUGGGGCAUGCAGUUCUAAAGUUCGCUUGAUUUUUGAAGUUUAAUUUUAGUAAAAACUAUAAAUAAGAAAAAUCCUAAUAAAGAUGGUUGCUAGGCAUGCAGAUAAUAGAAAAGAAAGGCAAAGACCCAUUUUCAAUCCAAAAGUAGCUGGAUACUUUAUUGAAUUCUCUAUUUUGCUUGUAUAGACUAAUUAUCAAGGUAAAAAUAUCCUAAAUAUUCUAUGACAUUUAGAAAUGCAUUAAGGAUCUUCUACCAUCCCCAUUUUUGUUAGAAAAAAGUAACUUUUUUCUGUGACUGUUUUUACUAGAAGACACAUCAUUACAUUGAUGUUGCUUUUAACAUAAAGCCCAGAAAAGGUCCUUUUGAUAGUCUUUCUGGCACAGUUAUGAAAGGUAAUUCAAUACAUGUAUAAUAGAAGUACAGCACUUUUAAAAAAAAGAUGGGCUAAAUACUGUAAAAGAUUAAAUUUUUGAAAAAAUUUUAUUUAUAAAAAUUUCAUAGUAGAAAUUCUCAAUACUUUAAAGUGAACUUUUAAAAAGCUUCUAUAUAGCAGGCCAACCUCAACAUGACAAAAAAGGCAGCCUACAGUAUGAGAGAGUAUAUUUGUAAAUGGGUUAUCCAAUAAGGGGUUAACAUCCAAAAUACAUAAGGAACUCAUAUGCCUCAACACCAAAAAAACAAAUAACCUGAUUAAACAAUAUGCAGAGGAUCUGAACAUUUUUCCAAAGAAAUAUGCAUGGCCAACAGGCAUACUGAAAAGACUAUCCACAUCACUAAUCAAAAGAGAGAUGCAAAUCAGAACCACAAUGAGAUAUCACUUCACACCAGUCAGAAUUGUUACUAUCCAAAAGACAAGAAAUAACAAGUGUUACCAAGGAUGUGGAGAAAUGGGAACCCUGCUACACUGUUGGUAGGAAUGUCAUUUGGAGCAGCCACUGUGGAAAGCAGUAUGGAGGUUUCUCAAAAAACUAAAAAUAUUAAUACUAUAUGAGUCAGUGAUUCCACUUCUAGGAAUUUACCCCCCAAAAACAUGAUUCCUGAUUCAAAAAGAUAUAUGCACCCUUAUGUUUACUGCUGUAUUAUACAGUAACCAAGAUAUGGAAGGAACCAAAGUGUCCAUCAGCAGAUGAAUGGAUAAAGAAGAAGUGGUGUGUAUACACAAUGAAAUAUCAUUCAGCCAUAAAGAAGAAAGAAAUUCUGCCAUUGUGACAACAUGAAUUGGCCUAGAGGGUAUUAUGCUAAGUAAAAUAAGCCAGGUGGAGAAAGACAAAUACCAUAUGACUUCACUUAUUUAUGGAAUCUAAAAACAAAACAAAACAAAAUGAAUAAAACAGCAGUAGACUCAUAGACACGGGGAAGUGACUAGUGGUUACCAUGGAGGAGGAGGGUUUGGGAUGGGUGGGUGAGGGGAAUAAAGAGGCACAAAAUCUCAGUCAUAAUGUAAGUUGGUCAUGGGGAUGGAAAUGCGUAAGAGAGAAUAUAGCAAUGAUUCUGUAACAUCUUUCUACAUUAACAGAUAUUAACUGCACUACGGGUGAGGAUUUAAUAAUGUGUAUAACUGUUGAAUCACUGUGUUGUAUACUUGAAACCAAUAUAAUGUUGUAUAUCAACUAUACUUCAAUUAAAAAAGUACAAAAAUAUGAACUUCUGAUUCCAAAAUUAGUUUUCUAGAUGGAUAUAAAUGAAACAUUGGGGUCAUUCGUUAUAGCUUCUCAUCUUCAUUGUGAGAAAUAAAGGAUGUUCUAAUAUCAUCUUGUAGUUGUCACAAAAGCAGUGACCUUCUAAGUUAAGGCCUGAAUUAUUUCGAGUUUUUUUUUUUCUCAACACUGUGUUUUUCAGAAAAAGCAUCCCAGGGAACUCCAUGAAGUCAGGGGACAGAUUGACUCAUCUUUGCUGGGUAUUUUGCAGUGUGUAUCGGCAACAUUAUCCCCUUAGAAUCAUGUCUGUGUAUAUUACAGUAGGUGACAUAAACAACAGUAUUUAGUUCACUAUGUGUUCAUUUAGGUGCACAGUUUUUGUAUCCAAGUACCUAUGGGGAGGAGGUUGAAAAUAUCUUUGUAGAGCAUUGGAUGAAGUGGAAGAACAAAGAUCAUAUAAGUGAUUGAUUGAUUCAUCCCAUUGUGAUUAAGCUAAGUCACAACAAUUAAAUUUAGAACAAAUUAUCUUUUAUAGAUGUUGAAUAUGGUUGCCUUUGUUAAGAAAGUUGUCAUUUUCAAAGUACUUCCUUACUUGUUUUUAAUAUUAAAGGAAUGGUACAUGUUUUUUUUAAAGCCUUAAGUUGUUUUAUUGAAACCAAGAUUUCUUAGAGAAGUUCUCUGACUAUUCUAUGCUGAUUCAUAUCAUAAUGUUUUCCUUCCAAGACUCUACACACAACCAACAGAGUCACACUAAUGCUCCUUUGAAGAGUAAUUGUUCUUAGCAAAAAUAAGGAUUCUGGAGUUCUUGUUACAGAACAUUUUGUAACAGGAAAGCACAUAAAAAUAUACUCCAAAGAAAAAAUUAGCAACAGGGUUUCCAGUUUAACAAGAAAUUCGUGAGGACUAUACCAGGCUGUCAGGGGUUGCAAAGAUAAGUGUGACCCAACUCUUGUCCUCAAAGACUUUUGUGAACUCAAUUAGGGGAUAAGAUGACACAGUUAGGAAGAUUGGAAAUGGGGUAGAAAAGACCAGAAUGACCUACAGUGAUAUUUCUGAGGAUGGAAUGAUCAUAUGUGGCUGAAAGGGUCAGAAAAGACUAAAGAAAGUGGUUCACUGUCAUUCUUCUGAGACAUCAUUUGUGCCCUAUUGACAUUAGCAGAAGCACCUCCAAUACCUGUGGUGUGGUGGUGCCGCCCAGUAACCCCCACUUUAUCAUUUCUUCAAAAGAAACUUGGAAAGCAAAUGUGCCAAAGUUUUUAUUAGUGCUUCAUUUUGUAUAUGUGGUGCCAAGUUUUCUGCUGAUAAGUAAACAUCUACAUUUUGAAUGAAGAGAGAUGUUUUUAUUUGUUGAUUGUUGGAAUGGCUAAGGUAGGACUUUGAAAACGAGGUAUACUGCUUAAAUCAUUCCUACUUUUAAUUAUUGUUUGCAUUUUCACUCAUGGUCUGUUUUCUAAAGGCCUUCUUUGUUCCACCCUUAUAUGUGCUGCAUUUCUUCUGACAAUUUCUUAUCACUUCUUCCUGAAGAUUUUUUUGCUUUAAUGUUUUCUUGGACUCUUUGUUCUCUUCAUGUCCCCAUGGUAUCUGCAUAUUCCACUAUAUUAGAUGCAACUUAUUAAAUUAUUGUUGGGUAGAAUUCAUGAGGAUCUCACAGGAAUAACUGUGUUGGAGUUAUUGGAAAAUUUUUGUUAUUUCUGGUUAUGUUCCAGGAAGCUUUAAUAGCAGUAUGAUUGUGAUUGCUGCCUAUCUUCUUGAAAAUAGAAGUAUCUGCAUUUGAGGUUGUGUAAUUUAAGUGUUUGUAAAUUUCUCACUCAUUUGCCUCACCAGAUCCCCACUUGAGACCCAUGUAGUUUCAAAUGACAGAAGGAAGGAGACACACGUAGAUUUGUUGAUUAUAUACUGAAGUGUACUCUAAAAAGAAAUUAAAGCCUUUUGAGUUCUAAAAUAUAUGCUGACUCCAUACUUGUGAUUGACAUGCCAGAAAUUGAUGCAUACAUGUAACUUCUGCUGCUCUCUGAAUUUGCAAAGGCCAGGGAGUUAGAAGGCUAGCUACAGCUAGUAAGGGGUGGCCUCCCUCAUUCAUUGCAACUUCUCUUGAAUUAAGUGUCACUCAUACAAGAGUAAUCUCUUUUCUAUUCCAGUUUCACCACUCUGCCCAGCUUUUAUCAUCUACCCCUUAUGAGGAAUUUUUCCCAUCCAGGCUAACUGAACUCCUCUGGCCUGUCCUCUCUCUGCCAAAAUGUGUCAUUUGCCAUUCUUCAAAUGUCCUCUUUCUUUGUGUUUGUUAGUGAAGUUGUCUUUCAAUUUCUUUCCAGUGACGUUCUGCUCUUCCUUUUUAAAAUAUAGGUCAAAUGCCUCUUCCUGCAUGAGGUCUUCUGAUCUUUCCAGAAACAGUGAUCUCUGCUAAUUAAGCAUCCCCCAAAGUUAUAUGGGAAAAGCUAUUAAAAAUAAUAUUAAAUGAAGAAUUUAUACUUCAUUUAGUGUUUGUUGUAUUGGGUAUUCUGUGGUUAUUUGUAUGAAUCUUACCCCUAAGGAGAGUCAUUGUAUCUUAAAUUUAUUUUUAUAUUACCUAUACCAUGUAGCACGGUUUUAUGCACAAGGUAAGUAACCAGUAAAGAUUUUUGGAUUUAAUGAAAUUUGUGAGUCCCACAUGUACCAACACACAUGAGGUGGCUAUGGCCAGGGGACCAUGGUUAAUUUUGAUGCCCACUUCAGCCUCAUGCUUUAGAAGACUGUAAAUUGUUAUCAACCCUUCUAUUAUCUUUUGGUUUUCAUUCAUUUCCUAUUGCAAAGUAAGACACACACCUAUCAGAAUAUUUGGAAGGAAUUUUUUCUUCAUUUAAUAUUAUUUUUAAUAGCUUUUCCCAUAUAACUUUGUGGGAUGCUUAAUCUGAGCUAAGAUGAUUUUGCCUGCUUUUAGUCUGUGUUUUUUAAAGCUCUCAAUGGACUACUAAGACUAAAGAGUUGGUAAAACCUGAGAUCUGAAUUAGGUACAUGCAUUUUUAGGUAGCAUCCAAGGAUUAGGGUAUGAGAAUAUUGCAUAACCUUCAACAGCUUUUUUUCCCCUCCAGCACUGGAAUGGAAAGAGGGCCAAACCGUAAAGAGGCCUGAAUGAUUGCUUAAGAACACCUCUUAGGUUGCAACAGAACUUGACUAGGAAAAUAAGCUCUGUCAGAAUCUAAAGCAAUUAUUUGACAGAAUUUUGCAAUUAGUUGCAUAGUAAAGGUGCUAUUUAAAUAAAGGUUGUAUUUAAACCUGAAUUACUAUAAAAGUGCCUUGAGUAUUUAUAGUUAUAAUAUCCAUUCAUGCCUGAGAGGGAAAGGAUUUGGGAAGAGGGAGAGGGAAAGGAAGAGAGGAAGGAAUAGCUACAGGAAGCAAAGUUUUAGGUCAGGGGUUCCCAGCCCUUUUGGAUUUAUGGCACCCCAGUGAGUCCUCCCUUAAGGGGCUGCCCUCAUCGUGCCCAGCAUUCGAUCUUCCUUAACCUCCGCCAGAACUCCUGCUGUCACAGGAACAGGGUAAAUGUGUGUGUUUAGGCCAGGCAGGGGUCUGUACAGGGAGCGUGCGGGGGUAUGUGCAGGGAGUAGGGAGUAGAUAAAAUAACUCAAAUACAGCUCUUGGAGUUUUUAGAACAUCUGUGAGUUCACAAUGGAGGAAAGAUAGACUUUUGAAAAGAAAUGUUUAUCAAGCUGGCCCCUCUGAGACAAAUUAUUAGCAGUUGUUGAUGUAGGACUGUGUAUUCAUGUUACCUAUAUUUUUCACUUUAAGAUUGCUUGAAAUCAAGUAAAUAUUUAUUUAUAUAACAAUUAUUAUAUUUUCUUAUGGUAUAGUUGACCUACAUUAUAUUAGUUUCAGGUGAAUAAUGAUUCAGUAUUUGUAUGUAUUGCAAAAUGAUCACCACAAGUCUAGUUAACAUUAGUCACUGUACAUUGUUACAGAAUUUGUUUUUCCUGUGAUGAGAACUUUUAAGAUUUACUCUCUUAGCAACUUUCAAAUAUACAAUAGAGUGUCACUGUAGUCACCAUGCUGUGCAUGACAUUCCCAGGACUUAUUUAUUUUAUAACUGGAAGUUUGUACCUUUUGACGCCCUUUACCCAUUUCAUUCCUCCACUCCCCUGCCUCUGGCAACUCUGCAGGUAUCCUGUUUUAAAAAUACAGAUUUCUUUGAAAUAUUUAAGGGUCUACUCCUUGGAUUAAUUAACAAGUUUUGGCCUAAUAGCUAAAUAUCUAUCUUUAAUUGCUUAUGAUUUUUUUCCUUUGCCAGGAAUUCUCUUCUCUCCUUGUUUACCUGGAGGAUUCCUACUUAUCCUUUAGGACCCAGCUUAGAUUCCACUUGCUCCAUGUGACUGUUCCAGGUCCGUCUCCUUUCUGCAUGAGAAGUACUUUUCCCUCCGUCUAGGUUCUCAGUUAGACUGGUCUUUUCACACUUCCCUUAUAAUUUUUGUUAUCAUUCUGGCUUCCCAAUAGACUGUAAAGACAAAUACUGUGGCAUCCUUGAUACUAUUUCUUUGGACUCAGUAUUGACAGUGACAAAAAGCAAGAACUCAAACAUCGAUGGAAUUUUUUUAAAUUGGAAAUUAAGUUCAAAUGAAUCCUAUUAGAUGAUUUUCAGUUCAGUCCUUGCCUGGUCUAAUAUUUUUUGAUUUCAGGAGAAAUAUAUAAUUUUAGUAAAUUUAACAAUAAUGAUGAUAAUUAAAAUACAGAAGUGAACAUGUUAAGGGAAUUUAUUAUUUCUAUGUACUGUAAUUUGUACAUACAUUCAUUUAAUUUUGGCAAUAACCCUGUAGUAUUGUUAGUAUUAUUAUCACAUUGACAGAUGUGGAAGAGAUUAUGUGACUUACUCAAGGUCACAUGACUCAUAACUGGCAGGAUUUGAACCUCAGUCUGUCUGAUUUCUGAGCUUAAUCUGUCAGCAGGGUUAGAACGAAAAGAUGAACAAACCAAGCAGCCUCUCUGGGGCAUUUAUUUAUAAAGGUUGGUAACACACCAAUCACUGGAAUAAGAAUGAAUACUAUCAGUUAAAAAAGGUUUCCAUAUACUCAUUCUUCCCUGUCUGGUAAAAAAGCUGUAACUGAGCCCCUGAAGGAGGCACCAAGCCUUUGACCAAGCUGUUCCCAGUUCCCUAAUCUAGAAGCUGCAUCCUACUCUGAAAUCAUACAGUGCUUCUAUUUUUAUACCUCAUUUCCUACUAGUGUUCCAGUUUAAACACCAUGAUAAAAUGGUAUUCAGUUUGAGCCAAAGGCCUAUGUGUCCAACACUCACAGUCCAGAGGGCAGUGCUUCUGUGCAUCUGCUCAGGCUGCGCUGUGGGACGCAGGUCUGGGGGGCCCAGCUCAGCGCCACCUCCAGCCUGUAAUGGAGACGAGGCUGAAAGGAGAUUUGGAAAUUAGAGGGAGCCAAUGGGGCUCAGGUGCUGUGAGCCCCAUCCCCGUGAGAGGGUGGCAGGGAGAGCCUGACAGGAGUGAGCUGGGGAUUGGGGAGUAGAGGAGACCCUGUGUUAGUCAUGCCAGAGAAAUCUGUAGGGAAAGAAGCUGGUGGAUGCAGCCGGUGGCAGAGAAGAGAGGACAGUGGAUGGGAAGUAACAGUGGGUCAGAGGAACUGUGAAGGGCCAAGCAGAGAAGGUGCCUUCACGCAUCAGGGACGGGGUGGGGCCCCCAUGUGGGUGGAACAGUCAGCCGCAGGCAUCUGCACAGCGAACCAGUGCAGAUGUCUGCAGGACAGUUACCUCUCUCUGCUCCUGUAUCUCCCCUAAUGGGGUCAGAAACAGCCGCUCGCCAGCCAGUAAGGAGGCUACAGAGAUCUGCUGGCCAAGUGAGGGGAGCCAGGCAGGGGUGGCCAGAGUUUCUUUUUUUAUGUGAAGUGGCUAUUUAAUUACUGAACCAAGACUAUUUUAAGGACUUUUUAUUAUCCAACACCUGGCACACAACUGUGGGGCCUGUCUUAGAUUUAAUCCAGGGCCAGAGGAAGAUUUAGCCUGGCAGAGGAGAUUUACAGGGGUGCUUGACUAGGGAGAACAGUUGCUUUAUGACCUUCAUGUAUUGCUUUCACUACCCUGGGUCUGAUUUCUUCUCUCCUAGACAUUAAGCUCCUUGAGUGUAGGAGCUUAGAAAUUAGAGGGAGAUGAUGUCUUAGUCAUUUGUAUGUUGUACAGAGCUGUGCACCCAUCUAUUGGUUCAAUACAUACAUAUUGAAUAAAUAUUUGGUUAUGAGGUUAAGUGACAUGUGAUUUUUAAUUACAAAGUAAAAAUAGGUACUGGGAUUACUGUUUUUGUUAAAAGAAACCUUUAAUUUUAGAGUAGUUUUAGAUUUAUAGAAAAGCUAUGGAAAUAGCAGAGUGUUCCUACAUACCUCAUGCCCCAUUGCCCCUACUGUUAAAAUUCUACUUUAGAAUGACACUACUGGUUACUUUUUAUCUGUACAAAUUCCACUUUUUACAGUUUGAGAUGAUAGAGGAAAGCAUGCCACAGUAUUUAUUUCCAAGAGUAGCCAUGUUGAUUUGCGGAUCAAGGUUUUGUACUAUUUUGUUAAAUUUUUUCAUGAGUUGCUUUCUGAAAGUAAUACAUUUCCUAAUUUCAGUUACAAAUUAAACUGUAUUGCAGAAUUCCUACUGAGUCAUAUCACUACGUCCCAGGCCCUUGAACUUCACAAAGUAGUUACGUUUUUCUUUAAAAUGGUUCAGGAGGAACUUGAUGUUUAUGUGAGCUGUCAUACUCUCUGUUCCAUGAUGGAGUGCUUCAUGUUGUUGCCAAAAAUAAUACGGAUGUAAAGUUCUGAUUAUUUUUGGUUUAGAUGGUUUUGUACAGAGCCAUAAUAUAUCAGGAGGUGAUCAAGUAAAAUGUUUUAAUCCAAGAAAUCUUCCUCCUUGUAGAGCCCAGCUUGAUUCAAACAAGUUGUGUGGUCUUCCUUACAGAAAAAUCACACAAAAAAAGUUGAUAUAAGAAAAAUACUUGAGAAGCCAAAUGCCCUAAAUGAACGAGUAAUAGAAUCAUUUUUUUGUGUUGUAUGAUGUAUACUUUAUCACCAACUGCCUGAACCAUAUUUGGGAGUCUCUUAUUUAAUACUUAUGUGUUCACAAGGAGUGCUUAAAGUAUUAAACAUGGUGAGGCUGAAGUACUGUCAUAUGGUGGGCCUGUGUAAAAAUGGCUUGAUAAACUUGUUUACACAUAUAGCUUAACUUAACCACCUGUAGUGGAGAUUUCAUCCAUCUAACACCUUGUCUAACGUCACCCAUUCUCAGUGGUUUUGUGAUCACUGGGGCUCUUUUGUCCUGCCCACCACCAGUGCCGGUGAGUGUCUGGGACUGGAUGUCUUAAGUCCCUCUGAACUCAGUAUGCCUAAAACCAACUCAUCUGUUAAAGUCAUUAUUUCCCCUGAUGUCCCCUUUUCAAUGUAUGGUAGUAAUUCAGUGACCAUCCUUAAGCCUCAUACUUUACCUUUGACUUUCUUUCUACCCCUGUAUUCUAGCCAUCUUCACAUUGUUGACUUUGAGUGGCCUUUGCAUGCGUGUUUUCUUUUCCACUUCCAAAUCCUUAGUCCAAAGCUGAUCACCUUAUAUCUGGAUUAUUAAUAUAUCAACCUAACUGAUCUAUCUUCCUCUAUUUUCUCUCCCCCAAAGCACACAGACCACACUCACACACCACACCCCUUGUAUACUCUUCUUGCACGUGCGUGUACACACACACACACACACACACACACACACACACACACACACACACUUUAAAAAUGGUCUAGCUCAUAGUCAGAUUAAUGUUCCUAAAGUGCUUACAUCAUUUCAACAUGCUAAAAAACUUCAGCAGAUGGCUCCUCAUGCUUACAGGGAUGUGGUCUGGACUUGUCAGUCUGACUUUGUAGGCAGUUCCCCUUUUAGUUCAUUGUAUUGAGAGCUCUUCUAUCAUUACCCUGGAUUUCUGUAUGGAGAAAGAGAUUUAUAUGCUCUUUAUUGAGACUUUCUACAGAGUGAAUUAGGCUUUGUUUAAUAAAGUUAGCUUUUUUGUGGCAUCUUCUAGAAUGCAUUCAGGAUUGUACAUUGGCCUCAAGCUAGAUUCCCCCAUAGCUCCCAGAAAAAAUUGAGAACAUACUUAACCCAGGCAGCUGAAUGAUUCAUCCACAGCCUUCUGAAAAUUUAUAGGAUUAAGUGAAGUUAGUAUUUCAAAUAGAGGCAUUGUAAGCAUCCUGCAUUUGCUUGACUCAGUAAGUAGGGGCUAUUACUACAGGUUUAUACAAUUUCAGUAUUGUUCUCUUGAAACACUUUGGUCAAAUGGUCCCUGUCUCUGAAGCAUUUUGUGAAAAGUCCUCUUCCCUGAAUGUUUGUGGGUUUGAGGGCAAUCCUGAAAACCUCAUGGGAAGAGGCCUUUAUCGACACAUCAUUAUAUAUUGAUAUAUAAUAAGAUCCAUUACAAUAUUGGUAAUAUGAAUUGGAUUUUACAUAUGACCUACUUCAUACUGAGUGGUAACUAGUUUAUUUUAUAACAUUACAAGGUAAAGGUGGAAAGAAUGAUAUUGUAUAUUUUAUUUCACUCAUAAUUUACAUUUGACUUUGAAUUGUUAUAUUUACCCUAUGCUUGCCUUUUAGGUUCAGUAAAGCAAAGAAACAGUUGUGGAGAAGAGAAUUUAAAUCAUUUUUUGUAAAAUAUGUGCACAGUAUUAAGGUUGUUUGGGCUUCUUUAGCUCCGUGGCCAGGUAAAGCUUUUGCUACUUGGAUUCCUGGUCUUUGUGAAGUGGCCUUUGAGAUUGGUUGAAAUAUUUUAUAUCUAUGCUUAGGAUGUAGGCUGUGAAUUUUUCCCUUCAGUAUUUCUAAGGUAGUUAUUUUCACUUUCAAUUUUCAUGCAGUAGCUCUGAAAAAAACCAAACAGGUGUUUAAUAUUUUGGUGACCAAAUAUAGAUGUGCACACCACGUAGUGGUGCUCUUCCGUGCUGUGCGCCAUGACCCAUCUCCUUAAGCAAAUAUAGCACGUGGACUUUAUUUUUAAUUUUGACCUCUAGUCUUCAUUGGCACCUAGGUUAUUUGGGACAUGAUUCACUGGGUUAUGGGUUGCAAUGCUAAAGGGUCAGCUAAGGACAAGGAGACAGGAGACAUAUUGUCCUAUUAUGUAUAUAAUACUGAGUUGUGUCCACACCUGGAUUAGUAUAUGCCUUAUGGUGGGUAUGGUUUAGGUAGACCUGGGGGAGUACAGACUGAAAACAUAGGAACUUUUAGUAUGAAAGGGGCAGAUGGGCAUAAUAUAAAAAAGCUUUGAAAAUAUUUUAAAUAUUACCAGUUGGAGCUACCAUUUAUUGAGUGAUUAUCAUGAGCAUGCACCUUGUUAAGAGUUUUACAUAUAUUAGCUUAUUUAAAUAUUCAACAAUACUCCCAGAGGGUUGUUACUUCUUUUGUACAAUAUAGACAACUAAGUUUUAGGUCUGUUGCAAAUUGGAAUAAAAUGAACGAGAGUGAAUUUGGUGAGCAAAUAAAAAAAUGCUGAAGAUGAGUAAAUUUUUAUAAGUUCUGAGGAGUGGAUGAUUAAAAAAUUUUGUAAUCAGAUUCAUCUCCUCUAUAGGUGAUACAGAAGGAGAGGAUAAAUUAACACUAGUAUCUAAACAUCUUAAGGUAGAAGGAACUUUUUUAAAUUAAGGUAUCAUUGAUAUACAAUCUUAUGAAGGUUCCACAUGAGCAUCAUUGUGAUCACUACAUUCCCUCUUAUUAUCAAGUCCCCAUCACAUACCCCAUUACAGUCACUGUCCAUCAGCAUCAUAAGAUGCUAUAGAGUCACUACUUGUUAGAAGGAGCUUUUAUAGCUAUCUAGAAAAGAGUUUGCAAAAUUUAUUAAUUGAAGUUACAUAAAUGUCUAGGAAAAGCUUGGAUUUCAGAGAACAUUUAUUACUUUUUUGAAGGGUUUUUUAGGCAGCAGAAUAUUUAUUAAAGAGAUUUGUUGAUUUAUCCCUUAAAAUUAUACUUAGGAUUUCGUUUGUUUUACUAUGAAAGUUCACCAAGAACCAAUCUGAAUCAAACUGCAUAUUUCAAACCAAAGUAAACUAAUUUGCAAAAAUCAAAGAGGGACCCUGACACUUUGUAUAUCAACCAGAGUGUUUUCAAGGAAAAAAACAAUCUUACUGAGUAUUUUAAAUAAAACCACACUGGAAAAGAAAUAGAUGUUUGCUAUGAAUAUGAAAGGGGAUAAUGAAAUAAUUGUGAAUCUAGUCAUUAUAUCCCUAGUCUUCAAUUGAGGCAGUUGAUGAACUUACUAGACAGAAGUAAAAAUACACUUUAUAAAUA